UACGUAGGGUGCGAGCGUUAAUCGGAAUUACUGGGCGUAAAGCGUGCGCAGGCGGUUGUGUAAGACAGAUGUGAAAUCCCCGGGCUUAACCUGGGAAUUGCAUUUGUGACUGCACGGCUAGAGUGUGUCAGAGGGGGGUAGAAUUCCACGUGUAGCAGUGAAAUGCGUAGAUAUGUGGAGGAAUACCGAUGGCGAAGGCAGCCCCCUGGGAUAACACUGACGCUCAUGCACGAAAGCGUGGGGAGCAAACAGG
rnacentral:rRNA from 1 species